rnacentral:rRNA from 1 species
CCUACGGGAGGCAGCAGUGGGGAAUAUUGCACAAUGGGGGAAACCCUGAUGCAGCGACGCCGCGUGAGUGAAGAAGUAUUUCGGUAUGUAAAGCUCUAUCAGCAGGGAAGAAAUAAAGUCCUUCGGACUUUGGACGGUACCUGACUAAGAAGCCCCGGCUAACUACGUGCCAGCAGCCGCGGUAAUACGUAGGGGGCAAGCGUUAUCCGGAUUUACUGGGUGUAAAGGGAGCGUAGACGGCAGCGCAAGUCUGGAGUGAAAUCCCAUGGCUUAACCAUGGAACUGCAUUGGAAACUGUGCGGCUGGAGUGCAUGAGAGGUAAGCGGAAUUCCUAGUGUAGCGGUGAAAUGCGUAGAUAUUAGGAGGAACACCAGUGGCGAAGGCGGCUUACUGGACUGUAACUGACGUUGAGGCUCGAAAGCGUGGGGAGCAAACAGGAUUAGAUACCCUUGUAGUC